GAUGAACGCUGGCGGCGUGCCUAAUACAUGCAAGUCGAGCGAACAGACGAGGAGCUUGCUCCUCUGACGUUAGCGGCGGACGGGUGAGUAACACGUGGAUAACCUACCUAUAAGACUGGGAUAACUUCGGGAAACCGGAGCUAAUACCGGAUAAUAUAUUGAACCGCAUGGUUCAAUAGUGAAAGACGGUUUUGCUGUCACUUAUAGAUGGAUCCGCGCCGCAUUAGCUAGUUGGUAAGGUAACGGCUUACCAAGGCCACGAUGCGUAGCCGACCUGAGAGGGGGAUCGCCCACACGGGAACUGAGACACGGUCCAGACGCCUACGGGAGGCAGCAGUAGGGUAUCGUACGCAAUGGGCGAAAGCCUGACGGAGCAACGCCGCGCGAGAGAUGAAGGUCUUGGGAGCGUAAAACUCUGUUAUUAGGGAAGAACAAAUGUGUAAGUAACUAUGCACGUCUUGACGGUACCUAAUCAGAAAGCCACGGCUAACUACGUG
rnacentral:rRNA from 1 species